GAAAUCUCGAUUCGUUCUCGCAAUAGAGUAACUGAGGGAGGCUCUUGUUUUUAAAGGAGGUUACCACCAAAGACUAGGGUGGACUUUUCGGUUUAACUUCGGGUUUGGGUGCGGUUCGGUUUAUUUAAGACUUGUAAAACUCUAACCAAGCUCAACCGAAGUUAGUUAAGUUUGGUUUGUGUUUGGGGAUAGUAACAGAUGAAAAAAGUAUAGAUGACCACAACUUUGAUACAAAACGACUAUCAACUUUAAUGACAAUCUUGACAAAAUAUUGAUGACGAGAUCAACAGGGAUUAGAACAAAGCAUUAUAUU